rnacentral:misc_RNA from 1 species
UGAGUUCGCGGGAGAGUAGGUUAUUCCCAGGGUUUUUAUUUUGUACUUUAAAUCCUAAAUUUAUUUUUUAUAUUUUUAUAAUGKUCAUGUUUUUGAAUGUUUUAUUCAAAUAAUGUAAAAAAUAAAAUAGAUAUUGACAUGGAUUGAACAAAAGAUAUWUAUUAUUUUAUGUUGCAUAAACAAAUUGGCAAAAUAGAGAUGGAAGAUAAAAAUAUGGUCAAAGUAAUAAGAGUCUAUGGUGAAUGCCUAGGAGCUUUAAGGCGAARAAGGUCGUGGUAAGCUGCGAAAAGCUUGGGGGAGAAGCAANACAUUUAUUGAUCCCAAGAUUACCGAAUGGAGUAAYCCAACUAGCAAGAUGCUAGUUAUCUAUUAUCUAAAUAAUAGAGGCGAUACCAGGGGAAGUGAACCAUCUAAGUACCCUG